rnacentral:rRNA from 1 species
GACGAACGCUGGCGGCGUGCCUAAUACAUGCAAGUAGAACGCACAGUUUAUACCGUAGCUUGCUACACCAUAGACUGUGAGUUGCGAACGGGUGAGUAACGCGUAGGUAACCUGCCUGGUAGCGGGGGACAACUAUUGGAAACGAUAGCUAAUACCGCAUAAUAUUAAUUAUUGCAUGAUAAUUAAUUGAAAGGUGCAAUUGCACCACUACCAGAUGGACCUGCGUUGUAUUAGCUAGUAGGUGAGGUAACGGCUCCCCUAGGCGACGAUACAUAGCCGACCUGAGAGGGUGAUCGGCCACACUGGGACUGAGACACGGCCCAGACUCCUACGGGAGGCAGCAGUAGGGAAUCUUCGGCAAUGGACGAAAGUCUGACCGAGCAACGCCGCGUGAGUGAAGAAGGGUUUCGGAUCGUAAAGCUCUGUUGUAAGAGAAGAACGGGUGUGAGAGUGGAAAGUUCACACUGUGACGGUAGCUUACCAGAAAGGGACGGCUAACUACGUG